rnacentral:sRNA from 1 species
GUACAUAACACAAUUGCAAGCCCGACAAA